rnacentral:misc_RNA from 1 species
GAUGAAGAACGUAGUGAAAUGCGAUAAGUAAUGUGAAUUGCAGAAUUCAGUGAAUCAUCGAAUCUUUGAACGCACCUUGCGCCCUUUGGCCAUUCCGAAGGGCAUGCCUGUUUGAGUAUCAUGAACACCUCAACUCUCAUGGCUCGCCAUGAUGAGCUUGGACUUUGGGGGUCUUGCUGGCCUGUGGUCGGCUCCUCUCAAAUGGAUCAGCUUGCCAGUGUUUGGUGGCAUCACAGGUGUGAUAACUAUCUGCGCUUGGGGUUUUCCAUCAGAUAACCUUCAGUGAUGGAGGUUCGCUGGAGCUCAUAAACGUCUCCCCUAAGCGGGGACAGCCCUUUGAAUGUUUGAUCUCAAAUCAGGUAGGACUACCCGCUGAACUUAAGCAUAUCAAUAAGCGGAGGA